UAAUAUAAUACUCGUAGGAAAGGUUUAUCUUUAGCUCACAAUCUGUGCAUAAUAUACGAUUAGAAAGAUUCAGACAUUUUGAAAAAUAAAUCACAGCACAAUUGAAAAAUAUAUGGCACAUUGAAACCAAAUGAGGGUGGUCUAUGGUGAUCGGUGGGAUGGGCUGAGAGUGGCUGAGUGGUGGGAUGGGCUGAGAGUGGCUGAGUGGUGGGAUGGGCUGAGAGUGGCUGAGUGGUGGGAUGGGCAGAGAGUGGCUGAGGGGUGGGAUGGGCUGAGGGGUGGGAUGGGCUGAGAGUGGCUGAGAGUGGCUGAGGGUUGGGAUGGGAUGGGCUGAGAGUGGCUGAGGGUUGGGAUGGGCUGAGAGUGGCUGAGGGUUGGGAUGGGCUGAGAGUGGCUGAGGGUGGCUGAGGGUUGGGAUGGGCUGAGAGUGGCUGAGGGUUGGGAUGGGCUGAGAGUGGCUGAGGGUUGGGAUGGGCUGAGAGUGGCUGAGGGGUGGGAUGGGCUGAGAGUGGCUGAGGGUGGCUGAGGGUUGGGAUGGGCUGAGAGUGGCUGAGGGUUGGGAUGGGCUGAGAGUGGCUGAGGGGUGGGAUGGGCUGAGAGUGGCUGAGGGUUGGGAUGGGCUGAGAGUGGCUGAGGGGUGGGAUGGGCUGAGAGUGGCUGAGGGGUGGGAUGGGCUGAGAGUGGCUGAGGGGUGGGAUGGGCUGAGAGUGGCUGAGGGGUGGGAUUAAAGAGUGUGUGGUAAUGUAUUAUUGUUAUUGACUGCUUUAUAUGAAAGUAACAUGUAUGUCAAAUGUAGGA